rnacentral:rRNA from 1 species
UACGAGGGGGGCGAGCGUUGUUCGGAAUUAUUGGGCGUAAAGGGUGCGUAGGCGGUUCCGCAAGUCCUGUGUGAAAUCUUCGGGCUCAACUCGAAGUCUGCACGGGAAACUGCGGGGCUUGAGUGUGGGAGAGGUGAGUGGAAUUCCCGGUGUAGCGGUGAAAUGCGCAGAUAUCGGGAGGAACACCUGUGGCGAAAGCGGCUCACUGGACCAUAACUGACGCUGAUGCACGAAAGCUGGGGGAGCAAACAGG